rnacentral:rRNA from 1 species
UACGUAGGGUGCGAGCGUUGUCCGGAAUUAUUGGGCGUAAAGAGCUCGUAGGCGGUCUGUCGCGUCGAUCGUGAAAACUUGGGGCUCAACCCUGAGCUUGCGGUCGAUACGGGCAUGACUGGAGUUCGGCAGGGGAGACUGGAAUUCCUGGUGUAGCGGUGAAAUGCGCAGAUAUCAGGAAGAACACCCGUGGCGAAGGCGGGUCUCUGGACAGUUCCUGACGCUGAGGCACGAAGGCCAGGGGAGCAAACGGG